CCUGAACGCUGGCGGCGUGGCUAAGACAUGCAAGUCGCACGGUGUAGCAAUACACAGUGGCGAACGGGUGAGUAAUGAAUCGCUAAUGUACCCUGGACUCUGGGAUAGCUGCCCGAAAGGGCAGGUAAUACCAGAUGAGACCACGAACAGGCAUCUGUUUGUGCUCAAAGGUCCGCCGGUCUGGGAGCAGGCGAUUUCGUAUCAGCUAGUGGUGAGGUAACGGCUCACCAAGGCGACGACGCGUAGCCGGACUGAGAGGUUGGCCGGCCACAUCGGGACUGAGACACUG
rnacentral:rRNA from 1 species